rnacentral:lncRNA from 1 species
AUACAUCCCACCCAGAGAAACGAUCUCGCCUCAGAUGAUACUUGUCAUCUGUGAGACCACCCCUUUAGCUAGAGUUAACCACUUGAGCAGGUUUCAAUUUUGUCUCUGAAAGUAGGAAGCUAUCAGUCUCCCUACAUGACUCGUUCCACCCUUUGUGGAUACUUCUACCUGUAGAAAAAAAGGUUGGCAAACUUGGUGGCAUGGUGAGGACAAAGGGCAUUUUGAAAGAACCAGUGACUGAGGUCAGAGUGGGGAGCUGGUGUUAGCUGUGGGAUUCACUGCAGCGUCCUACCACAAAGGCAAAGAAGAUGAAAAUGCAGCGUGCAGUGCUGGGCUUGAUUCCCAAGUCGCAGUCGGGCUCCCGCUAUGGGUAGGAGGCUUUACACUCAGCCUGGGUCAGCACCGGAGCAUCCAGGCACUUCAGCUCGUCUGGGUAGUCAGCUGUGAGGAUCAGGAAGAGAUCAAAGAAAGUAGAAAUGUGGGUGAGGCCAGAGAAGGAGACAAUAAUCUGGGAUGGAACAUUGAAGAGGAACACUGCCUCUGGAGAGGACUCCAAAACGAGUGUCUUUUGGAAGACAAUUCUUGGUCUGCUACUGGGCCUUAGUAGAGACUGAAUGUUUGACCAUUGGCUGCCAAGUUACCAUGCAACCUGAGCUGCCCAUCAUGAACUGACUGUUAUCUGAUCCACCAAGUCAUAAAAUUUGGCAUACACAGCACUCCAUCAUCAAAUGGAAAUAGUACAUACAUGAUCUGGUUGGAAUAGGCCCUGAAGGCACAUAUGCAAGACAUUGUGAUUUUGACCUUGUUGGAUGCUGCACCUAAAGGUGGAUGGAAGAGGAAGAGUCUUGGGGGCUACCAUCCUGGCUGGAGAAGCUGGCACGAGGCUCCCUCUUGUGGAUGCAGCAAGGACUGUUAAAAAUCUCCCAAGGCAGAGACUUUUAGGCCUACAUGUACUUAGCCUCCUCUUCCCACCUCCUGUUCAUCUCUGUUUCCAAUGUUCCACUGCCAUCACUGCCAGGAAGUUCUGCAGAGAAGAAUGAAGAAGAACCGUAUGAUCCUAAACAUGUUCUUUGAAGAUAUUAUCAACCCACCAUUGGCCUUAUUUACUGGAAUGUUUUUAUAACCUUUAUUUGACACCUCUUCCCAUCAUUUAAAAUAAAUCUGGUGCUUCCCUGAAUAA